rnacentral:sRNA from 1 species
CCAAAACAGGCACUAUUUAUAUACUGUUACUCUGUUUUUGCUGUUUUUCCGUAUUGUUUAUAAAAGGCACAUAUCCCAACUUUAGUAAAAUUUAAGGCAUGCGAGUAGUUUUUUAGUUUAACAAAUCAAAAAGGUUUAUUAUACUAGUAUCAAUAUGGCUUUGUGUUGAAAUAGGUCGGGAUCAAAAUGUUGCUAAACUGUCAUUUGGUUAAUCUGAAAAUGAAACAAAUAAUAUUUUUUAUUUACUUGUUUCUGUUUGAUCUGAGCUGUUAGUUUUGUAUAGGUCUUUGCUUGUACCAGAUUAUAGUUUUCUGCAGAUCUUGAACACGUGACUUUUAUUAAUCACAUGACAGUUAUUAUAGAUGAUAAAAUAAUAGUUAAAAACAUUGUCGAAGUCAAGUUUUUUUUUAAACCAUUUAAGAAAAUGCCAAUUUAUUUUAUGUCACCAAAAAGAAUUAUUAAAAAAAAAUAUUUCUUUUAUAAGUGAGGUGGCAUAUUUUUGUCAGGUGUAUACUGUAACAUGCCCUCAUAGGAAGUACAUAAUUUAGGGGUUUAAAGAUGUUAGUUUUAAAGAUGUACAAAACCAUAAUUAUAUUCUAAUUAUUAUUCUGUUGAUGGUAUUAAAUAAAUCCGAAGAAUGUUUUCCUUUUUUGAUGCUUAAAAACAGAAAUUGUCUCACUAAGUCAGAAUUGCAGAAUGUGUUAGGAGUUGUUCCUAUCAUAAUUUCUUCGUUGAAUGUCAAGAAAUUGGCCGUGAAUUUUAUAUAUGAUAAAACACAUUCUAAGGUUGAUGUACAAGCAUUUUAAGAAAAUUUCGUUCAUUAUCUUUUAAGUGCCACCACACAGUAUAAAAACUCCAAAAUUUUAAGUUUGAGUUUUAUCAUUUUUUAUUGCUUUUUGAAAAAUAAACCAGUGUUGUAAUUCAUUCUUAAAUUUAUUUCCGUUCUGAAAAUUAUUGUAUAAAUUCUGUGAAUAAAUUCCAUCUAAUU